UACGUAGGGUGCAAGCGUUAAUCGGAAUUACUGGGCGUAAAGCGUGCGCAGGCGGUUUUGUAAGUCUGUCGUGAAAUCCCCGGGCUCAACCUGGGAAUGGCGAUGGAGACUGCAAGGCUAGAGUUUGGCAGAGGGGGGGUAGAAUUCCACGUGUAGCAGUGAAAUGCGUAGAUAUGUGGAGGAACACCGAUGGCGAAGGCAGCCCCCCUGGGUCAAGACUGACGCUCAUGCACGAAAGCGUGGGGAGCAAACAGG
rnacentral:rRNA from 1 species